UUCUUAUUGGAUGAUGACUGUCAUGUUUUGAUUGAAUAUCAACUCUAUGAAAUAUAAAAUGCAUGGCUGUUUUCAUUGAUCAAUUAGAAUAUGACACGUGUCAUCAUCG
rfam:Glycine soja cultivar W05 scaffold5_60, whole genome shotgun sequence.